CAGCAGCCACGGUAAAACGUAGGGUGCAAGCGUUAAUCGGAAUUACUGGGCGUAAAGCGUGCGCAGGCGGCUUUGCAAGACAGAUGUGAAAUCCCCGGGCUCAACCUGGGAACUGCAUUUGUGACUGCAUGGCUAGAGUACGGUAGAGGGGGAUGGAAUUCCGCGUGUAGCAGUGAAAUGCGUAGAUAUGCGGAGGAACACCGAUGGCGAAGGCAAUCCCCUGGACCUGUACUGACGCUCAUGCACGAAAGCGUGGGGAGCAAACAGGAUUAGAUACCCCAGUAGUCCCUGUCUCUUAUAC
rnacentral:rRNA from 1 species